UAAAUUUAUUGUCAGUAUUAGUCACUUACGCGAAGGUAGAUUGAGGUUGAAAGUCAGAUUUACACAACAAAUAUUUAAUCGUCUACUUUUAUGUGUCGUCGACUGUACUAAAAGUUCCUAUUUUUUUUUAACUAAUUAAACCUUAAGUGUUUGAUAUCCGAGUGAAGCAUAUAAGAUAAUCCAGUCCUUAACCGUAUCAAUCGAAUAUUCUACAUACAAUAUAUCAUUCAUAUUUUAUUUAACCUCACCGAAAACAUGUCAAAUAGCACUGACUCUGAUUAUGUCGGGGAAAUAUUAUGUAUAUUUUUUUCCAUAGCUAAUAUUAUAGUUAUAUUUCAGUAUGUGAUAUAUGCGUUUAAGCUACGAAUCGUUUAUGGAAAAUUAAACAAAGGCUACGGGUUUGUAGAAGACAAAAACCGCUGGCAUUAUAAGAAAAUGUACGGUAUACAUCCUAGUAAUUUUGAUUUAACCCAGCCCUUGGAGACGUAUAGAUUUUAAGUCCUGUGGGAGUUAUGAGAUAAUCCAGUUAACAUAAUGUAAUUAUCUCCCAGAAUAAUAAUAGCGAAUUUUACUAAAUAAACCAGCUUGUCGUUUAUUUCAUAAAAUCACUAAGUGUUAUCUUUGUAUCAACAUUAUUUGACGUUAUUGCGUUUUCUGAUACGAAAAACGUUUUCAAAUGUGAGUUCGCUUUAGUUAUAGUACAACUUAGCUAAGUACAACGUGCUUCAAAUUAAUAUUAUGUACUUUCCCAAUGCAGAGAAUAGGUUAGCUUGUAUUCGAACGGCUAUAUUUUGAUACUCAUUCAAAAAAGAUCAUUUUUAUCUAAGAUUAUUUGCCAGCUCCAAAACGUCGCAAUAAAUAAGCUUAAGCACUACAAAUUCUCCUAUUUUGAUAUCUUCCUGUAACUGAAUAUAUUAUGAAUUAUUUACAUUAAAGUCGAACAGGCUUGUAAUUUCUAAAAUCUUAUGUUGUCCGGCAACCAAGAAGGUAAUUUUAAUUUUCUUUUUAUUAAUACUGUUCCGGUUACAAUAUGUCCAUUACCAAGUAGUAGAACAUUUAAACGUAAACGACGACACAAGUCUAAGACAGUCUAAAAUAAUGACAAAAUUUCGACUCGUCGCGACACAUGAGAGAAAAGUGAGAAACAUUCUCCUUCAUGAGGUCUUGUUUUCCAAGCAGCAUGGACCUAAAAUCUGCGUUUUCUCUUGUCCUCCCUCAAAUAUCUUCGUUUUUCUUUGUUGUCUAGAUAAAGUGCCACCAUGGCCAAGUCACACCCUCGAAAAUUUGUAAACAUUUUUCCAAAGCUCCGUUGCAAUAUUGCUUGCCCAUAGAUUUGCGAAUGGCAACUGUAUAUGACUAUCGGAGCCACAUAUCGGUACGAAAACUGAAACGUGUAUGACAUGUGUGCUUUCCCCUUUCCGAUCCGGCACCGAUCCGAUUGGUUGGGCAUCGACGGAAAAUACUCUGAUCGGAGUCGGAUCGGAUAAAUGUGCUCCGGCUUUUAAGGUGGUGUAACACUUUGGCGUGGCAGAUUUGAUAAAUAUUCCUGUAUGACAGGUACUGAAAUUGGAUUUGCAGGACUUUUAAAACAAAACAACGUCAACUGUCCCCGGGUGAAGUCAUAAAAGUGGUUAUUAAAAUAACUAAUAUUAUUAGGGGAGGUGAAAAUCGCAGAAAGUUUCGUGAUUUUUUCGCAGAAGUAGAUGCUACAUAUGGGGACUUGUUACUUCACACCGUUAAGCUACGAAAACUGUUUGCAACGGUUCUUCGCUAUACGCAAGGACAUUCCUAUUUUUCUUCAAGAUGAAGACGAUUGCAACACUACGGAACUGGAAAAACCAAUGGCAGAUGCAGAAUUUUCCGCAGACUUUGCAUUUUUAACAGACCUGACAUAUCACCUUAAUGAAUUCAAUUUCAAGCAACAAAGGUGAUUAAAAUUGUCGUCAUUCCUUUUAAGGGGUUAUAGAGGCUCACUUGGAGAGACAACAGUUGAAAAUCUAAUUUCAACUUUGUUAUUAAGUAUUAUUUUGAAAUGGUCCCAUGUUUGUGACUUAUUUUGAAGCUCCUUUCACACAAUGUACAGCGAAUUUGCGAAUAUACGAUUAGUUAUGGGGAAAUGCCACAGUAACAUAGCAGAAGCUGUAAGAACUUACACCAGCAAAGGGCUAGACACUGGACGAUUGGCUCCAGGAAUUGACGCAGAUAGUUGACGAUAGGGAUGCUCUGAUUCCAGACCUAGAGUCACUGGUCUUGGAGGUAAUUGCAGCAGAACCUUCGAGGCGAACGUGGAGCAUUGAACAAGAACUGCCUCUUUUCCAGGCACCCGAAAAUUGUCCCGAUAACUCCUUGUCCUGAUAAAGUGAUUGGGACACAAACAUGUUUGGAGUUAAACGAGUAAAAAGCCGGUUAAUUUCGUUUUUCCCAGUUUUAACUGUGUCUACCGUUAAUACUAUACACGAUCCAGCAUUAGCCCACCAACCAAUACCAGGUGCACCACCUCGAUACUCGACAGCUGCACAGUCCAAACCUCAACCCCCACCAUAUAUGCCUUAACUAAUAAUCUUAAUAAGAUAUAAAAUUAAUUAAUCAUAAAAUAUUGUCAGCAUUUAGUAAUGGAAAUCAGUUAUUCUAGUUGAGUUUCAUUAAGAUGACAUUCAAAUAUUUAUAUUAAACCAAAUAAAGCUUAUAGUAUUGAAA